GAUGAACGCUGGCGGCGUGCCUAAUACAUGCAAGUCGAGCGAACAGACGAGGAGCUUGCUCCUCUGACGUUAGCGGCGGACGGGUGAGUAACACGUGGAUAACCUACCUAUAAGACUGGGAUAACUUCGGGAAACCGGAGCUAAUACCGGAUAAUAUAUUGAACCGCAUGGUUCAAUAGUUAAAGAGGGUUUUGCUGUCACUUAUAGAUGGAUCCGCGCCGCAUUAGCUAGUUGGUAAGGUAACGGCUUACCAAGGCGACGAUGCGUAGCCGACCUGAGAGGGUGAUCGGCCACACUGGAACUGAGACACGGUCCAGACUCCUACGGGAGGCAGCAGUAGGGAAUCUUCCGCAAUGGGCGAAAGCCUGACGGAGCAACGCCGCGUGAGUGAUGAAGGUCUUCGGAUCGUAAAACUCUGUUAUUAGGGAAGAACAAAUGUGUAAGUAACUAUGCACGUCUUGACGGUACCUAAUCAGAAAGCCACGGCUAACUACGUG
rnacentral:rRNA from 1 species